GCGUGAGGGAGGAGGCUCUUGGGUUGUAAACCUCUUUUCUCAAGGAAGAUAAUGACGGUACUUGAGGAAUCAGCAUCGGCUAACUCCGUGCCAGCAGCCGCGGUAAUACGGAGGAUGCAAGCGUUAUCCGGAAUAAUUGGGCGUAAAGCGUUCGUAGGUGGUUUUGUAAGUCUGCUGUUAAAGCGUGUAGCUCAACUACAUAUAGGCAGUGGAAACUACAGAACUUGAGUGCGUUCGGGGUAGAGGGAAUUCCUGGUGUAGCGGUGAAAUGCGUAGAGAUCAGGAAGAACACCGGUGGCGAAGGCGCUCUACUAGGCCGCAACUGACACUGAGGGACGAAAGCUAGGGGAGCGAAUGGGAUUAGAUACCCCCAGUAGUC
rnacentral:rRNA from 1 species